AAUCCCGCCCGCUGGAUGACCAAGGGUUCCGGGGCCACGUUCGUCGUCCCCGGGUGAGUCGGGUCCUAAGGCGAGGCCGACAGGCGUAGUCGAAUGGAUGAACGGGCUGAUAUUCCCGUACCGGCAGCGAACCGAAACAACCGAGGCCUGGGGCGCUAACCUCCGGGUCCGUGCCGUCUCCCCUUUCGGGGGGUCGCGGCGCGGGCGCGUUGGGAUCCCCCCUCGUAGUAGGUCAGCGCAGGAGUGACGCAUCAGGGCAGCCGGCCGCGGAGGUGGUUUUCCGUGGUCAAGCGUUCGAGCCCGUCCCGCAGGCAAAUCCGCGGGGCGUCGGGGCGAGGCGUGAUGAUGGGGGCCUUACGGCCCGAAUCCGGUGAUCCGUGGUGCCGAGAAAAGCUUCGGCGUCAGGCGCGUUGCCGCCCGUACCCCAAACCGACACUGGUGGUCAGGUAGAGAAUACCAAAGCGAUCGAGCGAAUCCUGGUCAAGGAACUCGGCAAAUUGCUCCCGUGCCUUCGGCAUAAGGGAGACCCCCUGCGGUGAUGAGCGGCGGGGGGUGGCACAGGCCAGGGGGUAGCGACUGUUUACCAAAAACACAGGUGCAUGCGAAGGCGCAAGCCGCUGUAUAUGCACUGACGCCUGCCCGGUGCCGGAAGGUUAAGAGGAUCCGUCAGCCCCUUUUGGGGUGAAGCGGUGAAUUCAAGCCCCGGUAAACGGCGGUGGUAACUAUAACCAUCCUAAGGUAGCGAAAUUCCUUGUCGGGUAAGUUCCGACCUGCACGAAUGGCGUAACGACUUCCCCACUGUCUCGACCAGGAGCUCGGCGAAAUUGCAGUACGAGUAAAGAUGCUCGUUAAGCGCAGAAGGACGAAAAGACCCCGGGACCUUUACUAUACCUUGGUAUUGGCAUUCGGUGUGGAUUGUGUAGCAUAGGCGGAAGGCUUCGAAGCCACGGCGCCAGCCGCGGUGGAGCCGCAAGGUGAAAUACCGCUCUGUUCGCAUUGGAUGUCUAACCUCGAACAGUCAUCCUGUUCAGGGACAGUGCCUGGCGGGUAGUUUAACUGGGGCGGUUGCCUCCCAAAGAGUAACGGAGGCGCUCAAAGGUCCGCUCGGCCCGGUUGGCAAUCGGGUGUCGAGUGUAAUCGCACAAGCGGGCUUGACUGCGAGAACGACGGUUCGGGCAGGGACGAAAGUCGGAGAUAGUGAUCCGGUGCCGGCGCACGGGCGCGGCAUCGCUCAACGGAUAAAAGGUACCCCGGGGAUAACAGGCUGAUCAUUCCCAAGAGUCCAUAUCGACGGGAUGGUUUGGCACCUCGAUGUCGGCUCGUCGCAUCCUGGGGCUGGAGCAGGUCCCAAGGGUUCGGCUG
rnacentral:rRNA from 1 species